GGCCAGUUAGCUCAGUUGGUUGAGCGUGGUUCUGAUAACACCAAGGUCAGCGGGUUCGAUCCCCGUUGGGUCC
rnacentral:tRNA from 1 species